CAGCAGUCGCCACGGUAAUACAGAGGGUGCGAGCGUUAAUCGGAUUUACUGGGCGUAAAGCGUGCGUAGGCGGCUAAUUGAGUCGGAUGUGAAAUCCCCGAGCUUAACUUGGGAAUUGCAUUCGAUACUGGUUAGCUAGAGUGUGGGAGAGGAUGGUAGAAUUCCAGGUGUAGCGGUGAAAUGCGUAGAGAUCUGGAGGAAUACCGAUGGCGAAGGCAGCCAUCUGGCCUAACACUGACGCUGAGGUACGAAAGCAUGGGGAGCAAACAGGAUUAGAUACCCCAGUAGUCCAUGUCUCUUAUAC
rnacentral:rRNA from 1 species